rnacentral:lncRNA from 1 species
CCUUAUUCUCAAUCAAUUUCUCGACUCCUUUUAUGAAGUUGAUCCCAGAUUACAACAAGAAGAAAGUCUUAUUGCCAUUAAAUUAGAGGUUUUCCCCCACUCCAUUUGAUGCAUUACUAGAUCUACUAGAAAACCCAAAGCAAUUAGAUCCCUUCUACUCAAAAUGAGUCUCUGAAUACCCACAUCAAAUUAAGAUAUAUAACUGGUUCCUUGUAACACAAAGAUCUAAAAGUACAAUGAAAUUAAGUGGAAAUAGCUAAUUCUUGACACUAAUUCAACAUAUAAUCUGUAUAAAACUUCAAAAUAGUUAUUAAUCUUACAAUACCAAGUUCAAGUAAACAUGAUAAUAAU